CGGAGCUGCGCUAUAGAAGGCCCACAAAAGAAGACCUUGCCCUCUCUAACCUGAAACACCUUUCAAAAAAGUGUCAUAACCAUACAUUCCCACCUAAUUAACAAUGUAUAGAAAUUUCACUAAUAACAUAAGAAAAUGUGUAAAUCUGCUAUAUGCAACGAAACAUAUACAUUCACAGGCCGGCAAAGAAAGACUCAAAUUGGAGGCAUUUAAACAUGGCAAAGCCCGGCAAUACUCCGAGCAGCUGCCGAAAAGACGCAAUGAAUCGAAGAUGGGCAAAGGUGUGGGGCCAAUAACUUGGAAAAACCUUGCAAUUACGUCUUCGCUGGGGGGUAUUCUUCUGGUGUUUAUGUGGUACCUCAAAAAGGAGAAAGAGACCGCGCAAGAGAAAGAACGCGCUCGAAUGCUGGGCAAAGCAGCAAUAGGAGGAGCUUUUGAGCUGGUGGACAGUACGGGGAAAUUGCGAAAUAGUCAGGACUUUAUCGGUCAAUGGGUUUUACUGUAUUUUGGAUUCACUCACUGUCCGGACAUUUGUCCUGAUGAAUUAGAAAAAAUGGCAGAAGCAGUUGACUUAUUAGAAAACGACAAAGAGAGACCCAUUAAAAUUCAGCCGAUCUUUAUAUCGGUUGAUCCAAACCGAGAUACUCCCGAACUAGUUGGUAAAUACUGUAAAGAGUUCAGUCCGCGACUGUUGGGCUUGACUGGCAAUGAGGAACAAGUGAGCAAAGCAUGUAAAGCCUACCGAGUGUACUUCAGUGCUGGGCCAAAGGACAAAGACAAAGACUAUAUUGUGGAUCACACAAUAAUUAUGUACUUGGUGAAUCCGGAUGGCGAUUUCGUGGAUUACUAUGGUCAAACCCGGACAUCCUCCGACAUAGCCACCUCAAUUAAAGUGCAUAUAUCGAAGUACGACCACAACAAAAAGAGCUUUUUCUCCUAAAAAAAAUCCCGAAAAUUACCAUUCAUUUGUUACAUCCUCCACGUUUGAUUAGCGUUUAAUUUAAUAAUAAUGCUGGAGCAUUUACUGCUGUUUAUGAAUAAAAACCUUAACUAAUUGUGGACGUUUUGUUACUUAUAAAGCCAAUCGAAUAGGCGACAACGUUCUUAAAGUGCGCGACCGUUCAAAGGCAGCAAUGAAGUUGAUGUGGAUUUUAGUUUUAGGGGCUGCUUUGAAAAAGGCCGAUGGAGCGAUGACCGAGGCGCAAAUGAAGGCAGCAUUGAAGCUGAUCAGAAACGUCUGCCAGCCGAAGAACAAGGCAACUGAUGCCCAAAUCGCUGCCAUGCACAACGGCGAUUGGAACCAAGAUAAAAACGGAAUGUGCUACAUGAACUGCGUGCUCAAUUACUACAAGCUGCAAUUGCCGGAUAACUCCUUCGACUGGGAAACGGGACUGAAAGUGGUUGAGUCGCAGGCGCCUCCCUCAAUGGCUGGAUUCAUAAUGGAAACAAUAACGGGCUGCAAAGAUGCGGUAAAAACUCGGGACGAUAAAUGCAAGGCUGCCGUAGAAAUAACCAAAUGCCUGUACGACCAGAAUCCAGAGAAAUACUUUUUACCGUAACCGAGCUUUGCGAGUUUAGCAAUUAGUUUACUCCUUCGCCGUAUUUUAACAUUUACCGCGAUUUACCUGAUGCUAGUUCAAACAUCUCGACGUCUAGUGGCGCAAUGUGGCUUAACUUAAAUAUAUUAUUUGGAAGAC
rnacentral:misc_RNA from 1 species